CCUACGGGUGGCAGCAGUGGGGAAUAUUGGUCAAUGGGCGCGAGCCUGAACCAGCGAAGUCGCGUGGGGGAUGGAGGGUCUAUGGAUCGUAAACCUCUGUUAUGAGGGAAUCAAGUGUGGGACGUGUCCUAUUUUGUAUGUACCUUAUGCAUAAGGAUCGGCUAACUCCGUGCCAGCAGCCGCGGUAAUACGGGGGGUCCGAGCGUUAUCCGUAUGUAUGGGGGUUAAGGGGUGCGUAGGGGGCGUUUGAAGUCAGCGGUGAAAGUCUGUGGCUCAAACAUAAAAUGGCCGUUGAAGCUGGGGGGCCGUGAGUAUGUUUGAGGCAGGCGGAAUGCGCGGCGUAGCGGUGAAAUGCGUAGAUAUCGCGCAGAACCCCGAUGGCGAAGGCAGCCUGCCAAGCCAUGACUGACGCUGAGGCACGAAAGCGUGGGGAGCAAACAGGAUUAGAUACCCGUGUAGUC
rnacentral:rRNA from 1 species